rnacentral:lncRNA from 1 species
UAUGAGUCCUCAAUCUUAAUGUUUCUCCAUUUAAACAGGCCAAUAUAAUUUAUCGUCAUGAAUUAGCUCGUUUCACGUUGCUCACCUACCCAGGCUUGGGACCGGCAAUGUGCUCUAGCUGCAAAAAAGCAUUUGUAUUACUUUAAAAAUUAAAAUACCAUACCUGGAGUAGAAUAUCUAGCUAAAACAUUUUUAAAUUAAUCUCUACGUAACAUUCUUUACGUAACAGCCGUGUAUUAGUAUAUACAUUAUCCUCAACAGUUAACAAUCUCUGCAUUAUUAUUCACCGCAUAGCAUCCUACAUUAUGGUCUUUGCAUAACCAGCUUGCGAACCGAACGACCAAUUAAAAUUCAGUGGCGGACCCACAUUCAACCUAGGGGUGUCAACCGACAAUCCUUUGUCGCAAAAUUAUAAUAUAUGAAUUUACUAUAUGUUGGCUCUCCUUGACAUUUCGGUGUAUUUAAUUUUUUAUAUUUUGACACCGCUUAUUUCCGCCACUGUUAACACUACUGUAAAGACAUAAAGGCUCCUAUAUAUAUGAAGGAGGGCUUAUUGCUAUAUAUUCAGCAGGUUGAUUAAUUUGGAGAGAUCUUGAUCCCAACAUCUUAGCUUGAAAGGCCUUAGAAUUUGAUCUCUUUGAUGGAUUAGAAACAACAAAAAUUAUGACAAGAUGGCCUCAAGGAAAAACAUUGUAUAUCCAUCCAGGUAAAAGUUAGUACUUAGUUUUCUUUUACUUCUUCAUUUUUUACUUAUUAAACCUUUUAAUCUUGUUCUUUUUUCUUCUUACCCUUUCCUUUCAGGAAAUCAGUGUCUGCUUCAUCAUCAGAUGUUGAGUUCCACAUAUGUGGAGUACCAUUUUCCUUGAAUAGGGUUAGUUAAAAAUCAUGAGAAGUCAAAUGUAACACACACAUCAGAAUUAUUUCAGUUUUACUAAGCUGUUGGUUUGUGUUGAACUUACAGGAAAUUUUGACUGCAAAAUCUGCAAAGCUAGCUGCAGUGCUGAAAGAAAAUCCCAAAGAUGAUGUUUCUCAUUUGCUAGGAGACCUUCCCACUGAUUCCGAAACUUUUGAGCU